GAAAAACCCAAACAUGAGAUGCAAGUAGUACAUCAAGACAGAACAAAGCUCCAUUUUUGUGACUGUCUUCAGGAGAAUACACUGAAUUAAAAGAGAGUCACUGUGAGAAUGAUGUACACAUUACAACACCUUGUUUUGCUGCUGUAAGUCCUGACACAUGGCACCAGGAGCACCUGUGACUCAGGGAAUUAUGCAGGCCUGUACAUAGACACUGAAGAUGCACUGAGAUGGCACCUCAGAAUUGUGGCUGUGAAAACUAAUUUUGCCCAGCCACGCAGGUCUGCUGACACAAGCACAAGGAUCAUCUGUUUCUGCAGACACUACUGCACACUGC
rnacentral:lncRNA from 1 species